AGGGAGCCAGUGUAGGUGAGAACUGCAUAGUUGACCACACUUGCUGGGCCUAGGAGGCAAGUUUAGUGGCUCUACAUUCCCACUAAUUUUAUAGUGAACAUGGGGGCUGGGGCAAGCGCUGAGGAAAAACACUCCCGUGAGCUAGAAAAGAAGCUAAAGGAAGAUGCUGACAAGGAUGCCAGGACUGUCAAACUGCUGUUACUAGGUGCUGGCGAGUCAGGAAAAAGCACAAUUGUCAAACAGAUGAAAAUUAUCCAUAAAGAUGGUUACUCCCUAGAAGAGUGCCUGGAGUUUAUCACCAUCAUCUACAGCAACACCUUGCAGUCGAUCAUGGCUAUUGUAAAAGCUAUGAACACCCUCAACAUUAGCUAUGGAGAUGCUGCCCAGCAGGACAAUGCCAGGAAGCUAAUGCAUUUAGCUGACACGAUUGAAGAAGGCACCAUGCCCAAGGAGCUGUCUGAUAUUAUACUGCAGUUGUGGAAAGACACUGGCAUCCAAGCAUGCUUCGACAGAGCCUCAGAAUACCAACUCAAUGACUCGGCUGGAUAUUAUUUGAAUGAUUUGGAAAGAUUGAUCCAGCCCGGCUAUGUCCCAACUGAGCAGGAUGUACUGCGAUCUCGAGUUAAGACGACUGGUAUCAUCGAGACCCAGUUUUCCUUUAAGGACCUCAACUUCAGGAUGUUUGACGUAGGAGGCCAGCGCUCUGAGAGGAAGAAAUGGAUCCAUUGCUUUGAAGGCGUUACCUGCAUCAUCUUCAUUGCUGCUCUGAGUGCUUACGACAUGGUGCUGGUGGAGGAUGAUGAAGUGAACCGAAUGCAUGAAAGUCUCCACUUGUUCAACAGUAUCUGCAACCACCGCUACUUUGCUACUACUUCCAUUGUACUCUUCCUCAACAAGAAAGAUGUCUUCGUUGAGAAGAUUAAGAAAGCCCAUUUAAGCAUGUGCUUCCCUGAAUAUGAUGGACCAAACACAUAUGAAGAUGCCGGUAACUACAUUAAGGUGCAGUUCUUGGACUUGAACAUGCGGCGAGACAUCAAAGAAAUCUACUCACACAUGACCUGUGCCACAGAUACGGAGAACGUCAAGUUUGUGUUCGAUGCCGUGACAGACAUUAUCAUCAAAGAAAACCUCAAGGACUGUGGUCUCUUUUAAACACUCUUGUGUUUCCCACUCUUGAGAAAAAGUAAAAUGCUUUUAAACUACAGCUGAUAGGAUAAAAGCAAAAAGGCAUGAAGGGCAUCUAUAUUUUCUUUCUCCAAGAUGACAAAGUGUUCUACAUUUCAAACACACCUAGACCCUAGAAAGAGAACCUGGUAUAUACUGCUGCUGAAGUCUUUCCUUAUUCCAAUAAAAUAAAAAACAUAGAAAGUCACAGGGUCCCAAUAGUGUCUUACAGUAGACACAUAAUUGUAGCAGCAUGUUAACAUCUGCAUUAUGAAGCUGCGACGCUCUUUUGUCAUGGUAGCUUCUUUCAGGUUAAGGGCCUUUUAAGGACUAUUAGAUUCACAGCUGUUAUACUUUUAUGCAGGGUACUGUAUCUUGGGCUCGGAUUUUGGUGCAAGGUAUCUUUUUUAAACACCUGCAUAUGCACUUCAUUAAAAUGACAUCUAAAACAUAGCCACUCAUGUUGCAUUGCAAGCAGCGUAGGUGAUAUUGAUAUUAUUGACUUAUGAGAAUUUUCCAUUUCAGUUAUGUAUUCGAUUACAAUAUCAAAUCACAUUGUAUUGAAAAAAAAAACUUUAGCUAUAAAAUACUAUGUUCUGAAGAUGUGUAGAUCAUGUAAUUUAAUGAUGUUCAGUGUAGUUUGAGCUGAGAAAUUGCACAGGAUAUCAAGGCUCUCUUCUUUUGGCUUUAUAAAAAAAAUGUGGACAAGAGCAUAAAAAAAUACUGUGUUAAAAGAAACAAUAAAGCUUCUGUAGACACAAA